AAAAUAUUAUAUUUUUCAUUUUUUAAAGGGAAAUGAAUUUUGCAAAAGGUAAUUGGAGUGACAGCUGGGUAAAACAUUUCACCCACUAAAAAGCGUUUCCCAAAUAGCGUUUUGGAGGGUUUAGCUUAGAGCUUUUUCAGAGGUUUCAAAUAGCGUUUUCCGGUGGUAUUGGAGCAUGAAAGAGCUAAAAAUCAGUUCAAUUUCAGAAAAUUGAUGAAAACUUGGAGGAAAUGUUGACGAAUCGCCCCAAGUAAUAGAAGCUGAUGAAAGCUUAGAGGAGGAAGAACCUGAUGAGGAGGGCCCUACCGAGCCGGAACCUCUCACAGGUCCUCUCGUCUCGGGAUAGCGGGCGAGACAGUUUGGAAGAGUGGGGGGAAGAUAAGGGAAUUUCACUCUCUCAAACUGUCACUAAUAAGGAUUGAACUCCCAACCUCAUGAUUCGAAGGUACUCUCUUUUCCACUAGACAGACCAAGCUUGGAUUAGUGUUGACAUUACACACUGUUAUUGCAAUUCAUAUACUAUUAUUGAAAUUCAUAUACUGUUAUACAAAUUUUUGACACGAUUAUUGUGUUCAUAUAUACUCCUCCUUCGUUUUUUAGUACUUGUAUUAUGUAACACUCACUUAUUUUCCUAA